GGUGCUAUAGUGUAGUGGUUAUCACUCGGGAUUUUGAUCUGAAAAAAUAACUCCGGUAGAGAUUCCCGAAACCCAGGUUCGAGCCCUGGUAGCACCU
rnacentral:tRNA from 1 species